rnacentral:rRNA from 1 species
GACGAACGCUGGCGGCGUGCUUAACACAUGCAAGUCGAACGCUGAAGCACCAGCUUGCUGGUGUGGAUGAGUGGCGAACGGGUGAGUAAUACGUGAGUAACCUGCCCUUGACUCUGGGAUAAGCCCAGGAAACUGGGUCUAAUACUGGAUGCUACAUGUCACCGCAUGGUGGGGGGUGGAAAGGGUUUGCUGGUCUUGGAUGGGCUCACGGCCUAUCAGCUUGUUGGUGGGGUAAUGGCUCACCAAGGCGACGACGGGUAGCCGGCCUUGGGGGGUGACCGGCCACACUGGGACUGGGACACGGCCCAGACUCCUACGGGGGGCAGCAGUGGGGAAUAUUGCACAAUGGGCGAAAGCCUGAUGCAGCGACGCCGCGUGGGGGAUGACGGCCUUCGGGUUGGAAACCUCUUUCAGCAGGGAAGAAGCCACAAGUGACGGUACCUGCAGAAGAAGCGCCGGCUAACUACGUG